rnacentral:rRNA from 1 species
UGGGGAAUUUUGGACAAUGGGCGCAAGCCUGAUCCAGCCACUCCGCGUGCAGGACGAAGGCCUUCGGGUUGUAAACUGCUUUUGUACGGAACGAAAAGGCUCUGGCUAAUACCUGGGGCUCAUGACGGUACCGUAAGAAUAAGCACCGGCUAACUACGUGCCAGCAGCCGCGGUAAUACGUAGGGUGCAAGCGUUAAUCGGAAUUACUGGGCGUAAAGCGUGCGCAGGCGGUUGGGUAAGUCAGGGGUGAAAGUCUGCAGCUUAACUGUAGAAUUGCCUUUGAUACUGCUCAUCUUGAGUGUAGGAGAGGUUGAUCGAAUUCCAGGUUUAGCAGUGAAAUGCGUAGAUAUCUGGAAGAACACCAGUGGCGAAGG